UUAAUUUUAUAACUUUCAUGAAUUUAGUUUUUUUUUUUUUUUUUUUUUUGUGGUUGGUAAUAUUAGUCAAAUAAGACUAAGUUUGUGAAAUCAAACUACGUGGCUAACCCUACAUCUUUAUUAUAAAACUCUUUCUAAGUCAAACUGAUAUCUUUUUUUUUAGUAAUUAAUUUUCCUAGGAAAAUAUAAUAAGAUUGGAAAUUUGUAUUUCGUAUACAAAAUUCACUGUUAGGAAUCUUUUUUCUCUGUAUCUAACCAAUUAACUUCCUAAUUAGAAUCCAACUUAGUAUAUAUCUAUUUGUCACUUCAUUGUGAUGAUAAUGGAUCAGUCGUGAUAAAAUCAUUUUGAAAUGCGCCGCCUAACAAUUAAUUGAAACAUUUUGGAUUAUUAAUAAUUAGAAGUAUUUAUUUAUUAUUUCGCACCAUAUAUAUUCUUAUAUAUCUUUUACUUCGUUUUGCAAUUUCUUGCAACCGUUCAUUUUAACUGGCCGGGUUGUUAUGUAUCAGAUACUUUGGAAUAUUUUUGUAAAGCUAAAGCUAGCUAGCUUUAAGUCUGGAAUAUUUAUAUUUAUUGUCAUUUUUACCUGCUCUCAGAACCCCGCCUAAUUGACCAUGAGAGAAGUCAUAUGUAGCCAGUCUUCCAAAUUGAUCUGGAGGUUGAGUGACAUCAGAAAAGCCAAGAUUUUGAUAAUUUUCUGAUUUCAAAAAUAGGACGUAAAGCCGAUCGAGUGGCUUAAAGCAAUGAGAAUAGUAGCAGUUCGAAGAAGCAGACACAGGCACGUACAGCUCAGCUCCCAUUGGAAAAAGAUCUCAUCUCAUCUGCCUCAAGUGGAAACAAUUAACAGCAAUUGAAAAGACAGGUUCAUAAAAGGGUGAGCCUCCUAGGGCUUAUUUAAUGAAACGAUGUGAUACAUUUUGAUUCAGAAUGAUCAAGUUUUCAUAAGCUCGGUCAAUGAAAGAGUCAAUUCAACAUUGGUGCAACUUCUGAUUGGAUUAGUUUACCCAAAAAAAAAAAAAAAGGAAUUCUGAUUGGAUUAGCUCUUGUAUAUAAAAGUUGUAGUCUUAUCGUAUAUGUAUGUAUAUCCACAUCCACUAUCCAGGAAACAUCAAUGUAUAGUACUGCAUUUAACCAAUUAUAUAUAUAUAUAUAUAUAUAUAUAUUUUUUUUGUAAUAGCAUUUAACCAAUUCUAAUGAAUUAA